ensembl:lncRNA
AAAAGUUACAUCUUAGAGUACAUGGGGAGCUCUGCAGAUGAUCUGUCUAUCUGGUCGAAAUCACUGAUACAGGUCCCCCUCCACCCUCUGGUGGUGUGGUUACCAGGUCCCCCUCCACCCUCUGGUGGUGUGGUUACCAGGUCCCCCUCCACCCUCUGGUGGUGUGGUUAACAGGUCCCCCUCCACCCUCUGGUGGUGUGGUUAACAGGUCCCCCUCCACCCUCUGGUGGUGUGGUUAACAGGUCCCCCUCCACCCUCUGGUGGUGUGGUUAACAGGUCCCCUUCCACCCUCUGGUGGUGUGGUUAACAG